AGACAUGAUGGUGGUCAAGUGUGAAUUAACAAUAUCUACAUGAAAUUCUUUUUCUCCCUUGCUUCACUGCCAGUGAGAUAAAACCUUCGAGGUUCACGAGGUUCUAAGAGGCAUCUAACCACACACACAAACACAGACACAAACUCGCCCCCAGACGGAUGGCCAUGGAAGGAUCUGAUGGUAUGAAUGGCCGCCAAGAUCAAUACCAGGAGAACUGCUGCCAUCCACAUCCACAGACGCAGGUUUGAAUCAAUGGGAACUUCGGAAAUCAUUGCAGACCACUAACAUCAUUGGUGUGACAGACUUCUGAUCACGAGGUGGUCCAAGGAGGAAAGAAAGAAAUUAACAGACAAAAUUCAGAUGAGAACCAGUCUUUUCCUCCUGGAGUCCAGAGAGUUACACAGGUACCCGUGGUUGAAUGCGGCCAGAAGCCGAAGCCGAAGCCAAAGAAUGCGGCCAGGAUCAUCCGAAGCAGGUGAUCCUCCUUCGGAUGCAUCAUUGAGUCAACAGCAGCCUAACCGUACAUCGCAUGCCUGUGUCACUCACCUUACUUCUUAUCACGGGGACAUUCCGUCACCCACACCAUCACCACAAGAAGAAGGGUGAGCUCAGUACAAGAAGAUAUUUUGAGAGAGGGAGACUGAGAGCGCAUUCCCGUUACUUUUAUUAUAAUAUAUUGUUAUAAGUAUUCUAUUCUUUAUUAGUUACUGCUGCUAAUCUCUCCCUGUGCCUAAUGUAUAAGCGUCACUUUGUCACAGGUGGGUAUGCAUAGGUACAAAUAAAGCAUAUGUUUGGUACUAUGUGUGAUUCAGGCACCUGCUGGGAGUCUUGGAAUGGUCCCUGCAGGUGAAGGGGCCUCUUGCUAAUGGUGAAGUCUCUUCUAAAGAGAAAUCUCAGACUAUUAGAUCAAUAUUUUAUUCUAAUGCUGAUCAACCGUCUCUAUAAAUGUCAUCUCUCCCCCACCUUCCAAAUAAAACAAGAUAAUGUUUUCCUACAAAAGAAUUGAGAAUAGGCCUGCCUAUUUUUGCUCCAGGGUAAUGGAAUAUAUUUAUUGAUGCAGAAUAAAUGACAUGAGUCAGAGUUCACUGUGGAGACUCCCAUAGCUCUUACUAAUCUUAUAAAGAUGAAGUGUGCUGGGCGUCUCAAUAAAUGAGAGCCAUCCAGUUCUUAAGAGCAUAUUCAAUUCAUAAUUUUAACCCACCAUCCCUGCAUUUUUCAGGGUCAAUAGCAAAGUGUGAUAUCCACCACUCUAUUUGGUCUUUAGCAAUCUCAUUUUUGUGGAUCUGAAUCUCAUCAGGGAAAAUGAACUCACGGAUAAAUCUGCAUAAUUACACAUACUGUCUGCUUGCAGCAAAAUAUCUAGCUGCUCCAAUUUCUCCUUCAUCCAUUGUUAUAGGGUCCAGGAAAAACACAAUGCAAAUUCCAUAGACAAGAGAAUGCUCGCCUCUAGAGUUCCAGAGAGAAUGUGGCUCGUGACAUUCAAGAUUUGAUUUGAGACUUCUUUCCCUCAUGUACAUUCUGAGCAAAUAAUACAGCAAUGUUAUUCCCGGGAACAAAUGCAAAUUCAUCACUGUUCAUGGCAAGAUACAGAGCACUGCAUAAAUGGCACAAGUUUGUCCAAUAGUUUUUACUUAAAUAUUAUGGGACUGAUGCCUACAAACAAUUUUUGAAAGCUUUUUUUAUUGAGCAAUAACAGAACUUCAGAAAGUAUAUGUACUUUCAGAAGUGCAGAGCUUGAUGAAUUAUUACAAAGCAAACACACAUAUGCAGCCUCCACCAGGGUCAAUAAAUAAAACAUCAGGGAUGUCCCCAGGACCCAGAUCUCUUGUGGUUUGCCUUUCUGAUCACCUACCCAUCCAUCUUAGCUUCUCCAGGUCCCAUGUCCUAACACCACAGGGCAGAUAGAAUUGUCACAGUAAGUAUAUUUGGUUGCCCUGCUGCUUUCAUUCUGAACUCACUUGGUUGGAGAGAGUCACCUAUCUUUGGUGUUUAUCAGCCAUGCAUUCAUUCCUGUUUUAUACUCAAUACACUUUGUCUUUGGCAUAUUUGGUACAAAUAUACCAAAGCUUAUUUUUGCCCAUUGUACUGAGCAUGUAGGUUGUAUCUGAUUUGGGGCUGUCUUGAUAAUGCUGCUAGUAAUACUUUUGUCCAUGCAUUUUGGUGCACUUGUAUAAUUCCUGGAUCGGAGGGUGUAAAUGUGUUCCAUUUUAGUAGAUAAUGACCAAUACUUUUCCACAGAGGUUAGACAGGUUUUCAUUCCCAUCAGAAGUGUGUGAGAAUUCCAGUAAGUCGAAAUCCUCACUGAUACUAGACAUUUGUCAGGCUUUUAAAUUUAUUAGCCAUCUGUAUGUAAGUUAUCUCGUUGUGGUUUUAAUUUGUACUUCUCUGGUGAAGGAGGUUGGAAAUAUUUUGAUAUAGUUAUUGGUUGUGGGUAUCAACCACCACUACACACUCCCUGAUAUUUAAAGGUGUCUUUUCAAGAAUCUUGCCAUUUUUCUAAUAGGUAUGAAUGUCAUUAGCUUAUUGAUUUGCAGAAUUCUUGUAUGUCCUGGAUACAAGCCUUUUGUUGGUUUUAUAUGUGCUAAUAUUUUCUCUCAUUCUAUGGUUUGUCUUUCUGUGUUCUUGAUAUAGUCUUUUGAUGAACAGAAAUUCCCAGUUUUAAUGUAGUCAAAUGAAUGAAUGUUUGAUUUUGUGUCUGUUGCUUUUGUGUUUGGUUUAAGAGAUCUUUGUUUACACAAACAGUAUGCUUUCUUAUAGGAAUCCCGUGACUUACCUUUGCAUAUAGCUCACCAAUUCACAUGAAACUGAUUUUUGUGUAUGGUGUGAGAUAAUAGUCAUCAUCAUUAUUUUUUUUCCUGGGUAAUAUCUGAUGAACCCAGCACCAAUUCAUUAAAAAGGGACCCUUUCCCCAACACAUUGCAGGGCCACCUGUGACAUAAGUCAGGUGUCCAUACAGCCAUGUCUUGGGGAGUUCUAUUCUGUUCCUUUGGUUGAUUUUUUUUCUAUCUCUGCUCCAACAGGAUAUUGAUAAAAUAACAAGGCAUUUUAUUCUAUCUGAUAGAGUAAUUUCUUUAAAUCCACCUGUUUUCUUAAAGAUUCUCUUGAAUAUUCCUGGCCGUUUACGUUUUCAACAUCAAUUUUAGAAUCUGCUGGUCAAAUAUCUUUUGAGAGUUUUAUCAGAGUUACACUGAAACUAUACUAACACCUUUGUAACAUUAAAACUUCAAUUCAUGGAGGUGCCUGGCUGGCUCAUCAGUGGAACAUGUGACUCUUGAUCUCAGGGGCAUGAGUUUGAGCACUACGUUGGGUAUAAAGAUUAUUUAAAAAUAAAAUAAAAAAAAAAGACUUCAGUUCAUGAACUAUGGUAUUUCCCAUUUUGCAUAUCUUUAAUUUACCCAAAUGCUGCUUUGUCCUUUAUACUGUUGAAGUUGAAUAUCUUUCACUAGAUUUAGCCUUCAUUAUUGUAUCUUUGGUUUCAUUUUUUUUUUAAGAUUUAUUUAUUUAUUUAUUUAUUUAUUUGAGACACACAGAGAGACAGAGACACAGGCAGAGGGAGGAGCAGGCUCCAUGCAGGGAGUCCAAAGUGGGACUCAAUCCAGGGUCUCCAGGAUCACGCCCUGGGCUGAAGGCGGCGCUAAACCACUGAAACACCCGGGGCUGCCCUUUGUUGGUUUUAAAAUUUUUUUUUUCAAUUUUUAUUUAUUUAUUUAUGAUAGUCACAGAGAGAGAGAGAGAGGCAGAGACACAGGCCGAGGGAGAAGCAGGCUCCAUGCACCGGGAGCCUGACGUGGGAUUCGAUCCCGGGUCUCCAGGAUCGCGCCCUGGGCCAAAGGCAGGCGCCAAACCGCUGCGCCACCCAGGGAUCCCUUGUUUGGUUUUAAAUGGCAACAUUAUUUAAUUUCAUUUUCUCAGUCUGUUACUGUGAUACAAACACAUAAUUGAUUUUUUAUAUUGAUCUCUAUGCAAGUAACCUUACUACAUUUACUUAUUAAUUUAAAAAAUUAUCUGUAUAUUCUUUUAGGUUUUCUGCAUAUAUAAUCAUGCCAUCUACAGACAAUGACAGCUUUCCUUCCUAAUCCUCAAUUAUUUCAUUUCUUUCCAUUUACUUAUCAGAGUGGCUAGGAAUUCCACACAAUGUUUAAUAGACGUGGUGAUAUGGAAGAUCUUUGUCUCACCUCUAGACUUAGAUAGCUUUCAAUAUUUUGCCAUUAGAUAUGAUAUUUGCUGUACGUUAUGUUUUGUGGAUAUUCUAUCAGAGGUCAACAUGUUUUCCUUCUAUUAAUGGUUUUACAUGUUUACUUUUAACAUUAUAGACAAUAGAAUUUUGUCAGAUGCUUUUUCUGCAUUUACUAAGAUAAUUACAGUGUCUUUGUGCUCAUGACUUUGUAUCUUUUUUCCAUUUAAUAUUUCAGAAUACAUUUUAUACAUAUUAUAAACUAUCCAUAAACAUUUUAUUUUUACAUACAUCUUUACAUUGAAAUAUUUUUAUGAAAAUAUGAUAUCUUCCUUUUUCUCAUCAUUCCAGCCCCAGAGGCAUUCACAUCCCAUCCUUUUGUGCAGAACCCUCCUGAUUUUUAUUUAUAGGAGUUCAAUUUUAAAGAGAAUUAAUAAAUAUAAUCUACUUUUGUCUUAGCAUAUUUCUCCUUGAGCAUAUCACUCUAGCUAAAUCUAGAUUCAAUCACCUGAUUUAAAAAAAACAUUAUUUUUACUUUCUGAUUUUAUCCAUAUUUAGUUAAAAGAAAAAUUAUAUAACUCUCCAACAACAACAACAAAAAAAAACAAGUGAGCCCUUAAACAAAC
rnacentral:lncRNA from 1 species